rnacentral:rRNA from 1 species
AACGAACGCUGGCGGCAUGCCUAACACAUGCAAGUCGAACGAGACCUUCGGGUCUAGUGGCGCACGGGUGCGUAACGCGUGGGAACCUGCCCUUAGGUUCGGAAUAACUCCCCGAAAGGGGUGCUAAUACCGGAUAAUGUCUUCGGACCAAAGAUUUAUCGCCUUUGGAUGGGCCCGCGUUGGAUUAGCUAGUUGGUAGGGUAAAAGCCUACCAAGGCGACGAUCCAUAGCUGGUCUGAGAGGAUGAUCAGCCACACUGGGACUGAGACACGGCCCAGACUCCUACGGGAGGCAGCAGUGGGGAAUAUUGGACGAUGGGCGAAAGCCUGAUCCAGCAAUGCCGCGUGAGUGAUGAAGGCCUUAGGGUUGUAAAGCUCUUUUACCCGGGAUGAUAAGGACAGUACCGGGAGAAUAAGCUCCGGCUAACUCCGU